AUUACCUACAUAUCACCAUGUUACUGCAUUUAUAUCUGCAUGCCAAAAGAAAUGAAAUGACAUGAAAUGGUAUUGCUACCUUAUUAAGAUAAUUGAAGGUUACAAUUGAAUUUGUUCCUCAUGAUGUCAUCAACAUGAAUUUGUUCCUCAUGAUGUCAUCAAUUGAUCUUCAAUUUGUAACAUAGAUUUCUUUUUUGGUGCUCUUCUCCCCUUGUUACAUAGCAGAAAAUUCCAAGUGCUAUCAUUGAUCACAAUUGCCUUGUAAAUUGUCUUGACUAUUUGGAAGGGCUUGAGAAGAAAAAUCAUAUUCUUUAAAGAAGUUGCAGAACAGUUAUGCCUUUCGCCAACAAAUCAGAGAAUGCAAGGUUCUAUAACAGAGAAAUUAUAUUGGACUGAUGUUUUUCAACUUGGAGUACAUGGAGGCUAAGGCUGUACUGCCCAUUUGUCUUUUAGAAUUUGGGAGUCAUUACAAUUUAUAUAUGGUAAAUCCUCCAACUCUCCAAGAAGGGAAAAAUGGAAUUUGCAAACAGUAUCUUGGGUGAUGGUGAUUUCCUACAUCUCAAGUGAUUAGUCUUGAGAUGUUAUUGCUUGGAGGAGUUCCCUUUGUGUUUAACAGAAAAUUUGACCCUUUUGUCAAUUAAGUUGGAUCUAGCGUAACACUUCUGUGGUUGCUUUUGCGAAGCAUAUUCGAGACUGGCAAGUUGAAAGGGGAAACCUCAUUUUUAAGGUUAGAAGUUACAACAUAUGAUCCAUUGUCAAUUAUUUCUUUUCUAUUCCAUAUAUCCUUUACAAACUUGUUUCUAUUUCUUUUUCUGAUCUCAUUUUGUUUAACUGUGAUCUUUGUUUCAAGCAAAGGGCUUUAGCUCCUGUAGUCAUUCUUCAGGUGAGUUUUUAACCAUUUUGUUUUAAGCAGCUGAAUUCUCUAGACUAUAGAUGCAUCACAUUCUAGAAAUAGCUUGUAGAACUUGCAAAACUAGUAUUCUUCAAAAUGGUUGUAGACUCUUCAGAAGAAACAAGCCUUUUCCCCCAACAAGAAUUAUAUUAGACUGAUGUUGCUUUGUAUGUUCACUUAAUAACUAUUGAACCACAUUAACUACUACUUAUAUUGUAUUACUCAAAUGAAUGAAACUUUCAAUUUGCCAACACGGCAACAACUCAAAGUAUGAAAUAAAUAAUGGAGAAGCUCUCAAAACUCACACCUCUUUGAUGACUAAGAACACUAUUUUUAUGAUGAUGAUGAUGUGUUUUGCACUCUUUAACGUGUAAACAAGGUAGUGAGGAGAUUUUUAAAAGGUUGAUAGCAACUUGGAGUGCAAAUGAAGGAACUUGUAGCGGUGGGUACUACAUUUUCCUUUUUUGUGUAGAUGAAUGUGCACUUGUAGAACAUGGCUGGGAAGAGCUUGUGCGCUACACCUGUUCAAAAUAUGAUACUCAAUAAAAAUCAAAUAUCUGAAUUUUUAAUAGAACAAAAUCAAAAAGAAAAUUAAAAGUUGCCUAGAGGUUCAUAUAUGCUAGUGUUCUUUUAGUGUUCUUUUAGAAAUAAAAAAUAUCAGUUUUGAAAAAGCAAGGAGUUUUGCGUGAUACCUUAAUAUCAUUCUUGCAAAGUUAUAGAUAUAGACAUAGUGAAGUGAAAGUAGAGUAAAUGGUUCUUCCAAAGUCUUCUUGCUUGCAGGCACUCACUGGUUGGUUUCCAUCUGAUGAGAAUGCAUAUCCCAAAGCUAGCCAUGUGGGCUUUAUUCUUGUCUUAGUAGAAGAUGGCAAAUGCUUAUGAACUUGAAGUAGUGAUGUUUCUAUGCUGAUUGAUUACUUGACAAUUAAGAUCAAGAACCACUUUAAAUCUGCACCUAUCUUAGCAUGUAGAAAAAUUUCAAACUGGGAAGCUGGUAGUGCUCAAUCUAUCGGAGAUGUAAGCGGAAUUUCAUGGUUAUUUGUUCUGUCUCUGCCUAUUUCAUCUGGUGCCUAUAUGUGAUGAUCAUACUAUACAUCUCUGUUUCUUUUCUCUACCUCUUGCAAUUAUUCCUGACUACUAAUGUGCUUUUGCAGAUUGGUAUGUCAAUU